rnacentral:misc_RNA from 1 species
AUUAAUAUGUAUUAUUAGACAUGCAAACUUUCAUUCGAAUGCAGCGACCGGGGGACGGUGGGAGCCCCGGCGACGAUGAACGCUUUGAAAUCACUAAUGAUUUAUAAAAAAUAUAACAACAAAGUGGACUCUAAGCAGUCAAGAAGGGUGGUACCGCGGUCAUUCGCCCCUUAA